rnacentral:rRNA from 1 species
GACGAACGCUGGCGGCGUGCCUAAUACAUGCAAGUCGAACGCUUUUUCUUUCACCGGAGCUUGCUCCACCGAAAGAAAAAGAGUGGCGAACGGGUGAGUAACACGUGGGUAACCUGCCCAUCAGAAGGGGAUAACACUUGGAAACAGGUGCUAAUACCGUAUAACACUAUUUUCCGCAUGGAAGAAAGUUGAAAGGCGCUUUCGCGUCACUGAUGGAUGGACCCGCGGUGCAUUAGCUAGUUGGUGAGGUAACGGCUCACCAAGGCAACGAUGCAUAGCCGACCUGAGAGGGUGAUCGGCCACACUGGGACUGAGACACGGCCCAGACUCCUACGGGAGGCAGCAGUGGGGAAUCUUCGGCAAUGGACGAAAGUCUGACCGAGCAACGCCGCGUGAGUGAAGAAGGUUUUCGGAUCGUAAAACUCUGUUGUUAGAGAAGAACAAGGAUGAGAGUAAAAUGUUCAUCCCUUGACGGUAUCUAACCAGAAAGCCACGGCUAACUACGUGCCAGCCGCCGCGGUAA